rnacentral:tRNA from 1 species
GCCUGAGUGGCUCAGUUGGUUAAGUGUCUGACUUCGGCUCAGGUCAUGAUCUCAUGGUCCGUGAGUUCGAGCCCCGCUUCGGGCU